rnacentral:rRNA from 1 species
GGCGGACGGGUGAGUAAUGCUUGGGAACAUGCCUUGAGGUGGGGGACAACAGUUGGAAACGACUGCUAAUACCNAAUAAUGUCUACGGACCANAGGGGGCUUCGGCUCUCGCCUUUANAUUGGCCCAAGUGGGAUUAGCUAGUUGGUGAGGUAAUGGCUCACCAAGGCGACNAUCCCUANCUGGUUUGAGAGGAUGAUCAGCCACACUGGGACUGAGACACGGCCCAGACUCCUACGGGAGGCGNCAGUGGGGAAUAUUGCACAAUGGGCGCAAGCCUGAUGCAGCCAUGCCGCGUGUGUGAAGAAGGCCUUCGGGUUGUAAAGCACUUUCAGUCAGGAGGAAAGGUUAGUAGUUAAUACCUGCUAGCUGUGACGUUACUGACAGAAGAAGCACCGGCUAACUCCGUGCCAGCAGCCGCGGUAAUACGGAGGGUGCGAGC